ACUAAAUGUCAAACAUUCUUA
rnacentral:miRNA from 1 species